GACAGAGGGUGCAACCGUUGUUCGGAAUUACUGGGCGUAAAGCGCGUGUAGGCGGCUUUGCAAGUCGGGUGUGAAAUCCCACGGCUCAACCGUGGAAGUGCAUUCGAAACUGCGAGGCUAGAGUCCUGGAGAGGAAGGUGGAAUGCUUGGUGUAGAGGUGAAAUUCGUAGAUAUCAAGCGGAACACCGGUGGCGAAGGCGGCCUUCUGGACAGUGACUGACGCUGAGACGCGAAAGCGUGGGGAGCAAACAGG
rnacentral:rRNA from 1 species